rnacentral:misc_RNA from 1 species
GGUGAUCUGAUGACACCUGCUCCUUUAGUAGUUCGUGAAUCUACCAAUCUUGAAGAUGCAGCAAGACUUCUACUCAAAACAAAAUAUCGUCGGCUUCCUGUGGUAGAUGGUAAGGGUAAGCUGGUGGGAAUAAUAACAAGAGGAAACGUUGUAAGGGCCGCCCUUCAAAUAAAGCGGGCUACAGAAAUGGAAGAUUGACAUGUACCAACAUAAGUUAACCGUUAAAAACAAGUAACACAGUUUGUCCCUUCUUCCACAGGAUCUGGUGGUCAAGGCAGUCAGCUUAAUUUUAUAAACUGCAGUUCUCAGACAUACUGUGUCAGACUAGGAUAUAUUCAUGUAAAUUAGCAAUCUUGUAGGAGAAUAGUGAAACUUGGCCGUUUAAGACAUUGCAGAGUUCAUUCUAAUAGAUAAUACUGUUCAAAAGCAAAGUUUUCGAGUCAACUUUUCAGAGGUUUGAAACAUAGAAGAAAAAACAGAUACUUAGUGCAAGUGGGAAACAUUUUAUGUGCCCCUUUAAAAACAUUAAAUAGUAGGCACCUAUCUUGACUGAAACUUUGCUCUUUGAUUGAAG